UUGAAUACUUUAAUAAUUCAGUGACGCAAUGCGUAGCAAAUUUAUUUUCAACACUUAGUAAACAUAUUUUUUCAUAUAAUGAAUGAAAGUUUUAACGUAGUUAAAAAUUAGUUUGAGUUGUUGCCGUCUAAUACUGUCAAACCUGGUUUAUAAGAAAGCACUUAAAAUUAAUUUCUGCUUGGACAAACUGCAUUUGAGAUCCCUAAUCCCGGUCCUACUGUUGAUGAUUUUCCAAAUAAGAUGAUCUGCUUUAAACAAUAUGGUUUUAAAGGUCCCUCUGAUAUUGUUUUAACGAGUUUCAAAUGUGCUAUCAUAUUCAAAACAAUUUUAACGUAAGAGAAAACACUCAGGUGGUAAUUUCAAAUUUUAUUAUUUUCAAUUUUUCGUAAUUUUUAUGACAUGUCUAUAUCUGAGAGUCAGAACAAGGUAACUCACAAUAUCGUGAGGAGACAGCUAAAAUGGUUGUCAAAGAUGGAAUGCACCUGGUAAGUAAUUACAAAGUUUUUUUUAGAAUUAUAUUCACAUGACUCGAUACAGAAUAAGAUUCUACAUGACAAUACACUAAUAAACUGAAAAUCACAGUUUUUGGACUUAUGUCAGUAUUAUAGCUCUGAGCUACAGAUAUUUUAAUUAAUCUUACUUUUUCAAAUUCAAUUAACUAUGAAACAGUAAGCAGAAAAGAAAAAAAAAACUUGGAUAAUAUGGAAUAUACAUAAUUAUGUACAGUCGGCUAGCAACUUUGUUUUGUAUUUGUAUGUAAGGUAAUUGCAAGAUCCUUUAUUUAUAAUGUAACAUACUACCAUGAUUAUAUUAGCUACAUCAAAUAUUAUUCGAAAAGAAUUGCAGAUAAAUAUAAACCAUUAGUCCUUUACUAGAACAGUUUUUUUUUAAAAUUUAUAAUUGCACUAAAUAUAGAUGCAUUUAGGAUGUUAAAUGAAAAUUAAUUUUUAUUUCAUAAAAAAGGAAAAAUAGAUUAACCUUCCUUACAUUAAAUUGGUAUAAAAUACAAAUGUUGAAAUCACAAAAUAAAUAAUAUUAGAUAUUGGGUAAAAUAUGUUAUUCGGUGCACCUAUGCUUUUUAGUACGGACAAACUGAGAUUUGGCACUUGCACAUUAUAGUGAAUCAUAAGGAAAGGGGUAAGGAAAAUAAAAAUUUGUAUUGUUGAUAUUUCGAUAUGAAAAAUGCAGUAACCAUUUAAAAUAUGUAAGUACUGUACACAAGUAAAAUACUGUAUUAAAAUUGAAAAUUUAGUUCUUUUAGUCAACCAGUUUUCUGCCAAAAUGGAAUGUUUCAAUGACUUAAUGGUUUGAGUUUUAUAAUUUACGAAACAUAUUAAGAUUUUUUUUCUUAGUAACUACUUAAUUUAAAGAUUAAUCAUUUUGACUUUUAAAGGGUAGCUAUUUCCUAAAUUUUCCUUAGCAAUUCUUGACAGUUUUCGAGCGUAAUUUUUUAAAAAGACUAGCUAGGCUUUGUGUUGAAUUUUAAAAAUAAUGAAUAUUCUAAAAUAACACACAAGUUAUUAAAAAAUAUAUUUAGUAAGAUCUUUUAAUUUAGGAAAUAAAACUUUCAAGAAAAUAUAAUUACACGGAAUUAGUAUUAAUGCUCUACUCAAGCUAUACAUUGUAUUAUUUAUCUUUUAAAUAGUAAUGAACAAAGUUUUAAUGAACAGAAUCAUCGGGUUACUGCAUACACGUGUUUUGGAGUUACAGGAACUCUUUUUCAAUGUAAAGUGGUGAGCUUUUGUAUGUAAAGACCCAAAACACGGGUAUGCAGUUGUCUGCUAUUUUUGUGCAUUAAAACGUUGUUCAUUACUAUUUACUUCCCUGCCCAAAGGUAUUUAUUUCUUAUUUAUCUUUUAGUUUAAAGCAACUUUUUUUUGCAGCCUUUAAGAACAAAAUAAGAUGCCUUCUUUGCACUAAGAUUUUCAAGUAGGAGAGUGGAAUUGCAAGUCCUUUCUCAUCACAGAGCAAAAUGAGAAAAUAUCUACUGAAAAGAGGGAAGGACUCCUCUGGAAUUGAGACCGAGAUGAAGAGAAGGAACAAAUAUUUAUCCGAUAAAAUUCAGAAUCUGCGUUACAAUAAAGUUUAAUUGAAUAAAUUUGAUUUUAAGUGUU